rnacentral:lncRNA from 1 species
CGUGACUUACAACUUCUCGCUACCAUCAAAAUAGAGAGGGCUGUGAUUAAAAAUUGUCGAUGAGAAAAAAGAAAUUAUUUGGAGAUCAGUUAGAGUAUGGGAACGGAAAUACCUACGUAGGUAGUAAGAAUCUUAAUAUAAGUUACUGUUUGGUCGUAUUAUCAGCGAACAGUAGUUGAAAGUACUCAAAUUUAUCUGAAUUUUAGGAUAAUGGAGGGUAUAGAUAAAUAGAAAGGGAUAUUUUUUGAAACUGUAAUCUAAUCAACUUCCUCAAUGACAGUUGGAAUACUUCGAGC